GGGGGUGUGCCCGAGAAGGGACUACCUUGAUAGAGUAGACACGGAGCCAACAACACUCCCACCCCCC
rnacentral:tRNA from 1 species